GAUGAACGCUAGCUACAGGCUUAACACAUGCAAGUCGAGGGGCAGCAUGGUCUUAGCUUGCUAAGGCCGAUGGCGACCGGCGCACGGGUGAGUAACACGUAUCCAACCUGCCGUCUACUCUUGGACAGCCUUCUGAAAGGAAGAUUAAUACAAGAUGGCAUCAUGAGUCCGCAUGUUCACAUGAUUAAAGGUAUUCCGGUAGACGAUGGGGAUGCGUUCCAUUAGAUAGUAGGCGGGGUAACGGCCCACCUAGUCUUCGAUGGAUAGGGGUUCUGAGAGGAAGGUCCCCCACAUUGGAACUGAGACACGGUCCAAACUCCUACGGGAGGCAGCAGUGAGGAAUAUUGGUCAAUGGGCGAGAGCCUGAACCAGCCAAGUAGCGUGAAGGAUGACUGCCCUAUGGGUUGUAAACUUCUUUUAUAAAGGAAUAAAGUCGGGUAUGCAUACCCGUUUGCAUGUACUUUAUGAAUAAGGAUCGGCUAACUCCGUGCCAGCAGCCGCGGUAAUACGGAGGAUCCGAGCGUUAUCCGGAUUUAUUGGGUUUAAAGGGAGCGUAGAUGGAUGUUUAAGUCAGUUGUGAAAGUUUGCGGCUCAACCGUAAAAUUGCAGUUGAUACUGGAUAUCUUGAGUGCAGUUGAGGCAGGCGGAAUUCGUGGUGUAGCGGUGAAAUGCUUAGAUUUCACGAAGAACUCCGAUUGCGAAGGCAGCCUGCUAAGCUGCAACUGACAUUGAGGCUCGAAAGUGUGGGUAUCAAACAGGAUUAGAUACCCUGGUAGUCCACACGGUAAACGAUGAAUACUCGCUGUUUGCGAUAUACAGCAAGCGGCCAAGCGAAAGCGUUAAGUAUUCCACCUGGGGAGUACGCCGGCAACGGUGAAACUCAAAGGAAUUGACGGGGGCCCGCACAAGCGGAGGAACAUGUGGUUUAAUUCGAUGAUACGCGAGGAACCUUACCCGGGCUUAAAUUGCAGAUGAAUUACGGUGAAAGCCGUAAGCCGCAAGGCAUCUGUGAAGGUGCUGCAUGGUUGUCGUCAGCUCGUGCCGUGAGGUGUCGGCUUAAGUGCCAUAACGAGCGCAACCCUUGUUGUCAGUUACUAACAGGUUCCGCUGAGGACUCUGACAAGACUGCCAUCGUAAGAUGUGAGGAAGGUGGGGAUGACGUCAAAUCAGCACGGCCCUUACGUCCGGGGCUACACACGUGUUACAAUGGGGGGUACAGAGGGCCGCUACCACGCGAGUGGAUGCCAAUCCCAAAAACCUCUUUCAGUUCGGACUGGAGUCUGCAACCCGACUCCACGAAGCUGGAUUCGCUAGUAAUCGCGCAUCAGCCACGGCGCGGUGAAUACGUUCCCGGGCCU
rnacentral:rRNA from 1 species